UACGAAGGGUGCAAGCGUUAAUCGGAAUUACUGGGCGUAAAGCGUGCGUAGGCGGUGAGUUAAGUCUGUCGUGAAAUCCCCGGGCUCAACCUGGGAAUGGCGAUGGAUACUGGCUCGCUAGAGUGUGAUAGAGGAUGGUGGAAUUCCCGGUGUAGCGGUGAAAUGCGUAGAGAUCGGGAGGAACAUCAGUGGCGAAGGCGGCCAUCUGGAUCAACACUGACGCUGAGGCACGAAAGCCAGGGGAGCAAACGGG
rnacentral:rRNA from 1 species